ACCAAAGUUGAUAUUCUUUACUAAUUUUUUAUAUUUCUUUUUUAGAAACCCCCAGAAAAGCCAGCAAUGAAGAGGACAUAAAUGUGCAUAGAUCAGAUCAACAUGUUAUACAAAUAAAGAAAGUAGAAGAAAGUCACCAUCCGCAGUUUAAUGCACCAAAUUUAAGUCGCUAUCAUUUUGUAAGUAGCCAAGAGGUUGCGAACAAAGCUCAAGGUUCUAUUCAAAGUUCAAAGAAUACUUCUGAACUAGUCAACAUAAAAGGCGGUGAUGAAUCAUCUUUGGUUUGGAAAGUUAAACGACGACCAGAUGGAUCUCGGUACAUUGUGAAACGACCUGUGCGUAAUCGCACAAUUCAAAAAAAUAUUCGGGGAAAUGAGCUACCUACUGAAGAGGAAACAAUAUCAGAAGUGAAAAUUGGUCGUUGUUGGACAAAGGAUGAACGGAAAAGGCAUAUAGAACGGGCACGAGAGCGGCGACAUCAUAAAACAUAGCUGCACGAAAAACAAUAAAUGUUUUUUCCUAUAUAUCCUAAGUAAUACAUUACAUAGCUUUACUUAGAAUUAAAUAUGUAGCAUUCAUA